UCAAAAUUAAAUCGAAACAAAUUUAUUCCCUUCCUUACUUUAAAAGAAUCUUGAAUCGAACCAUAUAGUGAAAAAUCAAAAUUAAACUCCAAUCCUAAGAAUAUAACCCAAAUCAAAAAUUCACAUCAAUACAUCCAAAACACUUACUCGAAGUGUUUGCUCAAGUCGAACUAUAGUCGAGCUUCAGACACAAAAUACACAAAACUCGAUGAAACAAACUCCAACUUCACCGAUAAAACUUUAAUCCAAAAAUGAAACACAAUGGGUAUCAAAAGUAACUGGGUAUCUAAAUCGAUAGAUCCAGUGAUGGCAAAAGUAGAUGACGCUUGAGCAGUGACUGAAUAGAGGACGUGAAGAAGAAACUGACGUGGUGGGUUUGGUCGUCAUCGGACGGGCUCGCAAACGGCUGAGCUUCAGAUCUGGGCGGACAAGCGGCUGGAAACUCGCGAACAGCACGGCGACCCAUGAACGAAACGCCCAGUCUAUUGGCGGCGACUUGCAGAUGCGCAGGAGAAGGACGAUGCGAUCUGCUGUCGAGGACUUGGCUGAAGGAGACAGCGGUGGACGACUGGACAAAUCUGGCAACGGCACCUAACCACCAUACGAUGAGAACGCGCACGACCUUAGAUCUGGAACCCGGACGGCUGAGAGUCGACGACGACCGACGCGAUGUGAGCGGAGGCGUGCGAAACUCCGGCGUUAAGAGUCGGUGACGAGGAGAGGCGCAGACACACGACUGAGAAAGGAGAGAUCGUGCAGUUGGGACGCUGUGGCACGCGUUGCUCGCGGACGAAAACAUUCGGCGAGACGCGCGGAGGAGAUCGGCUGGGAGGCGGCACUGAGCGGCUCGAAGGGUGCGACGGCGGCUAGGGUUUCCACGAAAGGAGGGUGGACAGUGAGGCAUAGGAUGCCAUCAUGGAGGCAGGAGGAAUUUCAUCAAAGGUCGGCCGGGUGGAGUGAUGAUGGAGGACAGAAACAUGGUAGUCUAGAUGAAUUAGGGAGCACAUAGUAGAUUGUGGGCAGACAGGCAAUAUUUCCUCGAUUAUGUGCUUGGACAACAUGAAGAGUACAGGCCUACAUUGACGGAGGUGGAGCUCAUUUUUGUACCAAUCAACAUCAAAUAACAUUGGCUCAUGACUAUCAUUGAUUUAUAUUCAUGCACGAUAUACGUAUUCGACUCCAUGCCAAACUACAUCGGUAGUGACAUCCUAGAUGAUAGUUGGCAACUGGUGGCCAGAUCAAUACCAUCCAUCUUAAUUGUCGUAAAAAAAAAAAAAUUGAAAAUUUAAGUACGGGCCGUGAGAAGUGAAGCGAUCGAAGGUGACCCUCCAAACUGUCAAAUCUCAACUGUGAGAUAUUUUUGCUAAAUUUGUAGAAUAUCUUGCAAAUAAGGAUAGGAAUAGCUUAAAACAAUAACAUAUGUCAUUGUUUAGAAAACAGUAUAUUGCCCAAUUGUAACACUGAAAUGAUAAUAAAACAUUACAAUUACAUUAAA